rnacentral:rRNA from 1 species
GGGAACUGAAACAUCUAAGUACCCAGAGGAAAGGAAAGCAAUAUGCGACUCCGUAAGUAGCGGCGAGCGAAAUCGGAUAGCGGUGAAACCUGUGAAUAUGUUGGAAUGCAUAACCAAAGACGGUGAAAGUCCGGUAGCAGAAUGUAGCCGCUCAGCCCUCGAGUAGGCUCGGGCUCGUGGAACCCGGGUUGAACAUGGGAGGUCCACCUCCCAAGGCUAAGUACUCCUUGACGACCGAUAGCGAAACAGUAAGGUGACUGAAUGUUUAAAAGUACCCCUAUUAGGGGGGUGAAAUAGUACCUGAAACCGUAUGCCUACAAGCGGUCGGAGCCCUACGGGGUGACGGCGUGCUUUUUGCAUAAUGAGCCCGCGAGUUAGUCUCUGUGGUGAGCUUAAGGCCUAACGGGCCGGAGGCGGAGCGAAAGCGAGUCUGAAUAGGGCGUUUAAUCGCAGGGGCUAGACACGAAACCCGUGUGAUCUACCCAUGGUCAGGGUGAAGGUGGGGUAAAACCUGCUGGAGGCCCGAACCCGUCAACGUUGAAAAGUUGUGGGAUGAACUGUGGGGAGGGGUCAAAGUCCAAUCAAACCGGGAGAUAGCUUGUUCUCACCGAAAUAACUUUAGGGUUAGCCUCAGGAGGCAACUAUUGGGGGUAGAGCUACUGGAUGGAAGGCGGGCCCGCCUAGGGUACCUCUUCCAACCAAACUCCGAAUACCAAUAGCCAAGUCCUGGGAGAUAGACUGCGAGUGAAAAUAUCCGUAGUCAAAAGGAGAAUAAUCCAGAUCGCCAGCUAAGGUCCCCAAAUCAUACUCAGUUCUUAAGGAAGUCAGAUUGCCGUGACAACCAGGAUGUUGGCUUAGAAGCAGCCAUCAUUUAAAGAGUGCGUAACUGCUCACUGGUCGAGGAAUUUGGCGCCGAUAAUGAUCGGGAAUAAGUAUGAUACCGAAGCUGCGGACUUCGUAAGAAGUGGUAGGUGAGCGUUCCAUUCAGCGUUGAAGGUUAUCCGAAAGGGUUGCUGGAGCGUAUGGAAGUGAAUAUGCGGGCUUGAGUAACGAUAAAAAAGGUGAGAAUCCUUUUCGCCGUAAGUCUAAGGUUUCCUGGGGAAGGUAAAUCCGCCCAGGGUUAGCCGGGUCCUAAGGCGAGGCCGAAAGGCGUA